rnacentral:rRNA from 1 species
AACGAACGCUGGCGGCAGGCCUAACACAUGCAAGUCGAACGCCGUAGCAAUACGGAGUGGCAGACGGGUGAGUAACACGUGGGAACGUACCUUUCGGUUCGGAAUAACUCAGGGAAACUUGAGCUAAUACCGGAUACGUGCGAGAGCAGAAAGAUUUAUCGCCGAAAGAUCGGCCCGCGUCCGAUUAGCUUGUUGGUGAGGUAAUGGCUCACCAAGGCGACGAUCGGUAGCUGGUCUGAGAGGAUGAUCAGCCACACUGGGACUGAGACACGGCCCAGACUCCUACGGGAGGCAGCAGUGGGGAAUUUUGGACAAUGGGCGCAAGCCUGAUCCAGCAAUGCCGCGUGAGUGAAGAAGGCC